AUGCUCACUCAACUCCCCUCUCUCCGGGGCGGGGGGGCGGGGGCGGCGCCGGGCGAGCAGCUCCUCCAGGCGCUGCCCCCCCCCCCCCCCCCCCCGGCCCUCCACGCCCCUCGCCCCGCGCGGGCUUUGGCGCCAGAUCUUUCAAACUCUCACUGCAACGGCUGCCCCUGGCUCGGGGCCCGGCCCGAGGACCCGGAUUCCGGAGCCUGGAUCUGUGCGGCCUGGAUUCCGGAGCCCGGCGCGCGGGGAGGGCUCACUCCGGAGCCGGGCCAGGCCUGGGGGCUAACCCGGCAUCUAGGGGCAGAACUCGGCCGCCCUCCCAAGGGCUGGAGCCUAUAAUCCCAGAUGGAAUCUGGGUUGGUGGGGGGGGAUGCUGAGGCUGGCGGGCGGCUGUGGCCUACGGGGUGGAAGGCUCUAGAGGCAUAGACCAGUAUUGAUGGAGUCCCCUGUGCCAGGCCUCGGAGCCGCAUCAGUGUGACCCAAACAGAGAUCCCUGCUGGGGGGGUGGCGGGGUGGAGAGGACACAGAUACACUUCACAAGCCAACCACGUGGCUGGUGGAAGAGGGAAUGUGGGCAAACAAGGUCAAGGGGCUCGGGAGCCCCUGCGUAGGGGGAUGCACUUUUUUUUUUUUUUUUUUAAGAUUUUAUUCAUUCCUGAGAGACACGGAGAGAGAGGCAGAGAUACAGGCAGAGGGAGAAGCAGGCUCCCUGUGGGGAGCCUGAUGUGAGAUUCGACCCCAGGACCCCGGGGUCACACCCUGGGUGGAAGGCAGAUGCUCACCCACUGAGCCACUCAGAUGCCCCUGAAAAGGUUAUUUUAAAACUGAGCUUUGAAAAAAUAGAUAAAUAAAUAAAAAUUAAAAAAAAAAAAAAACUGAACUUCGGGGGCACUUGGUGGCUCAGCGGGUGAGCAUCUGCCUUCCGCCCAGGGCGUGAUCCUGGGGUUCUGAGAUCAAGUCCCACAUCAGGCCCCCUGCAUGCAGUCUGCUUCUCUCUCUAUGUCCCUGCCUCUCUCUGUGUGUCUCUCAUAAAUAAAUAAAUAAACUAAAUCUUUAAAUAAAAUAAAACUGAGCUUUGGGGGCCCCUGCGGGGGCUCAGCAGUUGAUCCCGGGAUCCCAGGAUCGAGUCCCACAUCGAACUCCCUUGCAGAGAACCUGCUUCUCCCUCUGCCUGUGUCUCUGCCUCUCUGUCUCUCUCAAGACUAAGUAAAUAAAAUAUUUUUAAAAAUAAAACAAAACAAAAUAAAUAAAACCGAGCUUCGUGGAAACAUUAGUGCAACCAUUUUGAUUUUUAUCCAGCUUUAUGCUUUCAAGCAGUUUCGGGGACAGAUGUGAAACAAGUACGUGAUCUAAUGUUAGUGUGCUAGUUAUCUGUCACUAUGUAACAGAGACCCAAACGCAGUGGCUUAAAGCAACUCACCUUAUCUCCGUGGCUCAGGAAUCUGGGUGCGCAGUAGCUGGGUCAUCUGGCCAGGGCUUCAUGAAAACUCACUUCAAGCUCACUUGCACAGAAGGAUCCAGCCCCUGCAGGCUAUAGGCCUUAGAGUGUCAGGCGGGCCGUUGUCCAGGGGCUGUCUCAGUUCCUUAUCACAUAACAGAGGUUCUCAUUCGGGUUUUGAAACCCUCUGUAUUUGUUGUAAUAGGAAAAACAAAAACAACCCAAAUAUCUAUCGAACAGUGGACCCAAACCUCCAUGGACAUUACACGGUGGAAAAUGAUGCUGCGGUGAAGAUGAAUGCCCCAGGGACACGCAUCCCCAGAAUGACCUCCCAGGUGUAAGAUUGUGCAAAGAAAGCAAAGCCCACAAGACUACCAGCAAUAUCCUACCAUUUUUAUAAAAUUCAAAACCUGGCUAACCUAGCUGAUGUGAUGCAAUUGAAAGGAAAAGUGGAAACAUGGUUACUCAGAAGUCAACACGGUGGUGUUGUCUGGUGAGGAAGGGGGUGACAGGUGGGGAUGGGUACAUAGUGGUGGGGGCUUCAACACAGGGUCACAUCCUGUUCUUUUUUUUUUUUUUUUAUGAUAGUCACACAGAGAGAGAGGCAGAGACACAGGCAGAGGGAGAAGCAGGCUCCAUGCACCGGGAGCCCGACGUGGGAUUCAAUCCCGGGUCUCCAGGAUCACGCCCUGGGCCAAAGGCAGGCUCCAAACCGCUGCGCCACCCAGGGAUCCCCCACAUCCUGUUCUGAAGGCUGGUCGUUGUGAAGUCUCUACUCUAUAAGCUGGACAUGUAAGUGACAGAUGCUUUUUCUGUGUUUGAUAAAUUUCAUAUAUCAAAAAUGAAAAAAAAAAAAACACACCAACUUUCCUUGGGCUGCUUUGUAGAACAACGUGGUCCCGGGGCGCCUGGGUGGCUCCGUUGGUGAAGCAUCUGCCCUCGGCUCAGGUCGUGAUCUCGGAGUCCUGGGAUCGAGCCCCACAUCGGGCUCAGCAGAGAGUCUGCUUCUCCCUCUGCCCCUUCCCCUGCUCACGCUGGCGCUCUGUCUCUGAAAUAAAUAAAUAAAAUCUUAAAAAACAAAACAAAACAGGCUCAGCAGUUUAGUGCCGCCUGCAGCCAGGGGCCUGAUCUUGGAGACCCGGGAUCGAGUCCCACAUCAGGCUCCCUGCGUGGAGCCUGCUUCUCCCUCUGCCUGUGUCUCUGCCCCACCCCAACCCCCUCUAAUAAAUAAAUAAAAUAUAAAAAAAAAACAACGUGGGCCCAAUAUAAAUAGAAUACCCUACCGCCAAAGAGCAAUGGUAAUCCUGUGACCUCAUAGACCUGUUAACUAUGCUCCCUGGUAAUCAUGUUGCAAUAUGUAAAUGUGUGAAAUCAAUAUACAUUGUACACCUUACAGUUGCACAAGGUCAUAUGUCAACUACGUCUCAAUUUAAAAAAAAAAAAGAGUAUCCUAGGGGUGCCCCUGGGUGGCCCACUCUAUGAAGCAUCUGCCUUCAGCUCAGGUCAUGAUUUCAGGGUCCUGGGAUGGAGCCCUGUGUUGGGCCCCCUGCUCAGUGGGGAGUCUGCUUCUUUGUCUCCCUCCCUCCCUGCUCAUGCUCUCUCUUGCUCUCUCUCCCUUUUACUCUCGGUCUCAAAUAAAUAAAAUCUUUAAAUUUUUUUAAAAUUAAAAACAAUUUUUUAAAUGAAAUCUUAUUUAAAAUGUGGUUUCAGGGGACGCCUGGGGGACUCAGUGGGAGCAUCUGCCUUCGGCUCAGGGCAUGAUCCCGGGGUCCUGGGAUCGAGUCCCGCAUCGGGCUCCCCGCAUGGAGCCUGCUUCUCCCUCUGCCUGUGUCUCUGCCUCUCUCCGUGUCUUUCAUGAAUAAAUAAGUAAAAUCUUUAAAAAAAAUUUUGGUUUCAAGAUGGCUGGCUGGCUCAGUUGGAAGAACAUGUGACUCACGAUCUCA
rnacentral:lncRNA from 1 species